UCCUACCUACGCUAGCGCAUAGUUCGUACUCGCCUACCUCCCCGUCAACUACACCGUGACCAGGCUACCCCAUCCACCCAAGCCAGACGCAAUUCAAAAUUCGAAUCCCAGUCGCAGCUGCAUUGACCGGCGGAACCAUGCCCUCCUCAUCGUCGCGCCUGGAUCUCGAUAUUUCUUCACAAAUCACCAAUGAAUCUCGGCGCGGAGUCAUUCACGGAUCUCUUGUUCAGCUUCUGUUCCCAGCCGGUCGCAACCGUGGGCGUUCUAGAUCUGGCAUUGCCGGAGGGAGGGGAGGUGCGGUGAUGGAGGGAAAGAUGGUGAUAGCGAUUCUCCUUCCUCAAGUUCUGCAUCUCAAGUUCAAGAGGCAACGGAAGAUUUUUUUUCCAUGUCCCAGACAUUGACCAAACCGACAGUCACAGAGAGCAUCCAUCUGAAUCGCAACGCACUCCAACUCUAUGGCCUCAAAGAGCCCGAGUUGGCAAGAUACCCGACCGCCGCGCCUCAUUAUCAGGAAGGAAAAGUUCUUUGGAGAAGGCCAUGAGGAAUUUCGCAGAUAAGAAGUCAGGUACCGUCCACAAGCCGGAAAUCAGCGAGGAAUUUGAUUCUUUGGACGAAGCUUACGACUUCUACAACCUAUACUCUUGGGAGACUGGGUUCGGCAUCAAGUAUGGGCAAUGCAGAAGAAACGUGGACAAGUGCAAGAGGUCCAGGACAUGGUUUUCAGAUGCCAAGUAGUGAAUAUAUUUGAUUCAAGACAUGUAAACUUGGCAGUGUUACAAGGACGUGUACAUUUUGCCAUUGUACUGAUGUGAGUACAAAGUGCAACUAAAAUUGUACAUGGGUUGUUCAUUUCGGACAAAGCGUCAUGUGUUUUGCUUUCUUCUUAGGCCUUGUAUAAUGCUAGAUGCUUAGGGAGAUGCUUAGAAAAAUAAACCGGGUUUUUCUGAAGCACCGGUGUCUAUUUCUAUAGAAGAGACGCCUAACUAAGCGUCUAUCCUGUACAAAUAAGCAUUAGUGCUUAGAGAAAGCCUGGUUUAUUUCUCUAAGCACCUCGAGUAAGCACCUUGCAUUGUACAUAAUAUCCUACAUUUCGGAUUUUAUAAAGAGGAGGAUCGUCAUUCUUGACCCAA